rnacentral:rRNA from 1 species
UAGGGAAUCUUCGGCAAUGGACGAAAGUCUGACCGAGCAACGCCGCGUGAGUGAAGAAGGUUUUCGGAUCGUAAAACUCUGUUGUUAGAGAAGAACAAGGACGUUAGUAACUGAACGUCCCCUGACGGUAUCUAACCAGAAAGCCACGGCUAACUACGUGCCAGCAGCCGCGGUAAUACGUAUGUGGCAAGCGUUGUCCGGAUUUAUUGGGCGUAAAGCGAGCGCAGGCGGUUUCUUAAGUCUGAUGUGAAAGCCCCCGUCUCAACCGGGGAGGGUCAUUGGAAACUGGGAGACUUGAGGGCAGAAGAGGAGAGUGGAAUUCCAUGUGUAGCGGUGCAAUGCGUAGAUAUAUGGAGGAACACCAGUGGCGAAGGCGGCUCUCUGGUCUGUAACUGGCGCUGAGGCUCGAAAGCGUGGGGAGCAAACAGG